UAAGGAAUAUUGGACAAUGCCCGCAAGGGUGAUCCAGCCAUGCCGCGUGCAGGAAGACGGCCCUAUGGGUUGUAAACUGCUUUUACACCGGAGAAAACCCCAGUACGUGUACUGGGCUGAUAGUAUGGUGAGAAUAAGCACCGGCUAACUUCGUGCCAGCAGCCGCGGUA
rnacentral:rRNA from 1 species